GUGGAUAUAGCUGAUCAACGGUAGAGCAACCCAGCAUGCAUUGGGGAGAUGCGGGUUCGAUUCCCCCUGUCCGCA
rnacentral:tRNA from 1 species